UACGGGGGGGGUAAGCGUUGUUCGGAAUUACUGGGCGUAAAGGGCUCGUAGGCGGCCAACUAAGUCGGACGUGAAAUCCCUCAGCUUAACUGGGGGACUGCGUCCGAUACUGGAUGGCUUGGAUUUGGGAGAGGGAUGCGGAAUUCCAGGUGUAGCGGUGAAAUGCGCAGAUAUCAGGAGGAACACCGAUUGCGAAGGCAGCUCGCUGGGACGUAACUGACGCUGAGACGCGAAAGCGUGGGGAGCAAACAGG
rnacentral:rRNA from 1 species